rnacentral:rRNA from 1 species
GACGAACGCUGGCGGCGUGCUUAACACAUGCAAGUCGAACGGAAAGGCCCUGCUUUUGUUGGGUGCUCGAGUGGCGAACGGGUGAGUAACACGUGAGUAACCUGCCCUUGACUUUGGGAUAACUUCAGGAAACUGGGGCUAAUACCGGAUAGGAGCUCCUGCUGCAUGGUGGGGGUUGGAAAGUUUCGGCGGUUGGGGAUGGACUCGCGGCUUAUCAGCUUGUUGGUGGGGUAGUGGCUUACCAAGGCUUUGAAGGGUAGCCGGCCUGAGAGGGUGACCGGCCACAUUGGGACUGAGAGACGGCCCAGACUCCUACGGGAGGCAGUAGUGGGGAAUAUUGCACAAUGGGCGGAAGCCUGAUGCAGCAACGCCGCGUGCGGGAUGACGGCCUUCGGGUUGUAAACCGCUUUCGCCUGUGACGAAGCGUGAGUGACGGUAAUGGGUAAAGAAGCACCGGCUAACUACGUG